AGACGCUUAACGACUGAGCCACCCAGGCACCCCAGAAGUCCAUAUUUGUAAAGCAAAAUACUUGAGAAGUUUUGGGGAGUGACUGGGAGUGGCCACUCUUUCAGCCUGUGAAGCCCUGUUUUAGAGAGAAGGCUGCAUUUUGGCUGCGCUAUCGGUGUGGCUUCUCUGGCUUAGUGGGACCCUGUUGCUUCCCACUAUGUGACCUGACAGGUGCCCAUCCAUUCUUCUCAGUAAUGUGGGAGAAUCCCCCAUGUACAUCUUACCAGGAGAGAUGUCGGACAUUUAUCCAGCUGAGUUGCCCAAGACCAUUAAAGAGGUUCAUCAUUCUCCCAUACUGUUGUUUCUGUGAUGUCAAAUAAAAGAUUCAAUUUAUUAGCUAA